rnacentral:lncRNA from 1 species
AUGCUCAAAAUUCUCCAAGCCAGGCUUCAGCAAGACGUGAACCAUGAACUUCCAGAUGUUCAAGCUGGUUUUAGAAAAGGCAGAGGAACCAGAGAUCAAAUUGCCAACAUCUGCUGGAUCAUGGAAAAACCAAGAGAGUUCCAGAAAAACAUCUAUUUCUGCUUUAUUGACUAUGCCAAAGCCUUUGACUGUGUAGAUCACAAUAAACUGUGGAAAAUUCUGGAAGAGAUGGGAAUACCAGGCCACCUGACCUGCCUCUUGAGAAACCUACAUGCAGGUCAGGAAGCAACAGUUAUAACUGGACAUGGAACAACAGACUGGUUUCAAAUAGGAAAGGGAGUAAGUCAAGGCUGUAUAUUGUCACCCUGCUUAUUUAACUUAUAUGCAGAGUACAUCAGGAGAAACACUGGACUGGAUGAAGCACAAGCUGGAAUCAAGAUUGCUAGCAGAAAUAUCAAUAACCUCAGAUAUGCAGAUGAUACUACCCUUAUGGCAGAAAGUGAAGAGGAACUAAAAAGCCUCUUGAUGAAAGUGAAAGAGGAGAGAGAAAAAGUUGGCUUAAAGCUCAACAUUCAGAAAACGAAGAUCAUGGUAUUCGGUCCCAUCGCUUCAUGGCAAAUAGAUGAGGAAACAGUGAAAAUAGUGUCAGACUUUAUUUUUGGGGGCUCCAAAAUCACUGCAGAUGGUGACUGCAGCCAUGAAAUUAAAAGACACUCGUUCCUUGGAAGAAAAGCUAUGACCAACCUAGACAGCAUAUUAAGAAGCAGAGACAUUACUUUGCCAACAAAGGUCCCUCUAGUCAAAGCUAUGGUUUUUCCAGCAAUCAUGUAUGGAUGUGAGAGUUGGACUGUGAAGAAAGCUGAGCACCGAAGAAUUGAUGCUUUUGAACUGUGGUGUUGGAGAAGACUCUUGAGAAUCCCUUGGACUGCAAGAAUAUCCAACCAGUCCAUUCUAAAGGAGAUCAGCCUUGGGUGUUCUUUGGAAGGAAUGAUGCUAAAGCUGAAACUCCAGUACUUUGGCUACCUCAUGCAAAGAAUUAACUCACUGGAAAAGAUUCUGCUGCUGGGAGGGAGUGAGGGCAGGAGAAGAAGGGGAUGA